AGGCAGAACCCUCAUGACCAAAUCACCUCUGAAAGUUCUCAAGAAAUUGUAGAAUGUGCUGGACUGCAAAAUCCUGAGAUGGGGCUGUACUGGUGAGAACGAUCUGGGAUCUAUUCUUCUCUCCCUUAGAAGCAGAAUGUUCCUCCAGGUUUUAGCAGCAUGUCAUGUCGCCCCUGAUGUAUGUCACCCUUGGGUUUGCCCUUCAUGAUCCCUCAGCUGCAGUGCAAGUGGGGCACUCACAGUCAAGACUCCAACCACACUAAGCUGCUUUCCUCAGCCUUGGGAGACCAGCUCACAAUAAAUCCUAAGCCUCCGUUGUCCCUUGCUAUCUACUUAUAAGUAAUACAUCCACUUUGUGUAACUUGUACGCACUGGUGUUGUGUCUCACCAGAUUCACACGAGUUUGUAAUCAGUGCAUCGUGAAUCGAC
rnacentral:lncRNA from 1 species